CUCCAUUAUUGUAUGCUAUUAGUGAUGAUACUGGUCUAAUUGCACGCAAUAGUGGGGUU
rnacentral:pre_miRNA from 1 species